rnacentral:rRNA from 1 species
AUUGAACGCUGGCGGCAGGCCUAAUACAUGCAAGUCGAGCGAGCGGCGGACGGGUGAGUAAUGUCUGGGAAACUGCCUGAUGAAGGGGGAUAACUACUGGAAACGGUGGCUAAUUCCGCAUCCCAUCAGAUGUGCCAAGAUGGGAUUAGCUAGUCGGUGGGGUAACGGCUCAAUUAGGCUACGAUCCCUAGCUUGGCUGGGAGGAUGACCAGCCACACUGGAACUGUGACACGUUCCAGACUCCUACGGGAGGCAGCAGAGGGGAAUAUGGCACAAUGGGCGCAAGCCUGAUGCAGCCACGCCGCGUGUGUGAUGAAGGCCUUCGGGUUGUAAAGCUCUUUCAGCGGGGAGGCGUUACCCGAAGAAGAAGCACCGGCUAACUCCGUGCCAGCAGCCGCGGUAAUUC